CAUGCUUCCGAAUCUCAUCUACUCGUAUGGUUCCUAUGUAAACAAUGGCUUUUGUAGCUGUUAUUCCGACACAUUUCAUAGAUUUCUUAUUUUCAUAUCAGCACUUUGUCGACGGGAAAUCCAAUCAAGAAAACCCUGACCCUCAAGCAGCUACUGUAUUUGACCAGCUCACACCAGCUAGGCCUCCUCCAAAACUCAGAUAAAUAUUUGAGCCACCAAAAAAAAAACGAGAACAGAUCGGUCUGAAUCGUUAAGAACUGAAGCUAACAUCAUAGAGGUACAUCCUUCCAAGAAUCCAUCAAAACAACAUGCUGAACAACUUCAAGAACUCUCUUCAAAAGACCACACUUUCCUGAAAUAAAUAAAAGAUGCCAAUAUUAAAAUAAAUCAGUUACAUGUAUUGUUAAAUAUUUUAAUACUAGCUGUAAAUGCUACUGCCUUUGAUGUUUGCUUCCUACAUGUAUAUCAUAAUGAAAUAUUGACAAGAUAAUAGCUAAUGUUU